rfam:Cryptococcus amylolentus CBS 6039 supercont1.3, whole genome shotgun sequence.
CUCUCCGUAGUUUAGUGUGGUUUAGAGCGUCAGACUGUAAUUGGUAACAUAUAUAGACAUCUGAAAGUCGUGCGUUCGACUCGCACCGGGGAGA